GUCUACAGCCAUACCACCUGAGUGCGCCUGAUCUUGUCUGAUCUCAGGAGCUGAGCAGGAUCCGGCCUGGUUAGUACCUGGACAGGAGAAAGGGCUCUGGGAG
ensembl:rRNA 5S_rRNA 5S ribosomal RNA